GGCACGUGCACGCGUUGCGGUGCAACGCUCGCCAAGGC
rfam:Desulfovibrio desulfuricans subsp. desulfuricans str. ATCC 27774, complete genome.